rnacentral:piRNA from 1 species
UAGAUAACUAAUACAGGAGAGGUUCC